UUUUGGACAAUGGGCGCAAGCCUGAUCCAGCAAUGCCGCGUGAGUGAAGAAGGCCUUCGGGUUGUAAAGCUCUUUUGUCAGGGAAGAAACGGUGAGCUCUAAUACAGUUUGCUAAUGACGGUACCUGAAGAAUAAGCACCGGCUAACUACGUGCCAGCAGCCGCGGUAACACGUAGGGUGCAAGCGUUAAUCGGAAUUACUGGGCGUAAAGCGUGCGCAGGCGGUUAUGUAAGUCAGAUGUGAAAUCCCCGGGCUCAACCUGGGAAUGGCAUUUGAGACUGCAUGGCUAGAGUGUGUCAGAGGGGGGUAGAAUUCCACGUGUAGCAGUGAAAUGCGUAGAGAUGUGGAGGAAUACCGAUGGCGAAGGCAGCCCCCUGGGAUAACACUGACGCUCAUGCACGAA
rnacentral:rRNA from 1 species